UCGAAUCUCACUUUUGAAUGUCCUCUAUGGUUCUCUCUCUAUGUGUUUUGACUUUUCAAUUUGUGUUCUUACAAUUGAUCAGCGAUUUCCUGAUCGAAUUGAAAAAUACAUAAUACUAUGAUUCUCUUUGUUAUUUCGUUUCUUUUUGGAGUAAUUGAUUACAUUUUGCAUCCAUCACAAAUUGCCGAUUUGCUUGCAUUUGUUAACCAUACAUAUUCAAUGAAAUGUUAGGUUAAAAUGUCAAAAUUACAAAAGUUUGGCGACUUGGCGACAAAGUUCUGGACCUAGCUCAUCUGAUAGAGGUGAUUCGAUUUCGUAUCUUAGUGAUACCAGAAUUUAACAAGGAGGAAAAAAGACAGAGUCGAAGAAGUGGAGGAGAAGUUGGUUAGCCCAAUCCGUUUGCAAAUCAUGGCAGGAAACUUAUCGACGAGGAGGGGCAAAUAAGAACUAUUAAGAUGGAGAAAAGUUGCUGAUUAGAGAGAAAGAAACAUAGAGGAAAGAGGAAUAUAGAAGAAUAAAAAGAUUCAUCAAUUUUCAUAUUUUUUAUUUGUUUAUUUUCCGAUGAUAAUUUUCUACCGAAAUGUAGCGUAGUUAUUAAAUUUGUGCGGACGUACUAGAGUUUCUGAUAUAUUAAUUAAUAUUACUUAAUUAGUCUAAAUUAUUAUUUCUCAAAAAACAAGUAUGAAGAAGGAUAUUUUUUUCAUGUUCAUUUUUUUUAUCAUCAUGUUCAAUUUCAACUGUUUCACGAUGUCUAUAAAAGCUCAUAUACACCCAGCUCUGCAUGCAUAGGUAUGCAGCCAAAAAUCUGGGCUCCAUCAUGUGCACAAGCUAUUCACUUCACAAGAAAGUUUAAUAAAGAACACAAAUUC